AUACAGUCACUCUCCCAUGUGUAUUCCAAUACCGAAAGAGGCUUGAGAGGAAGAGAGAGAGGGGUCAGUUUGCUUCUCUCCUUCUCUUUAUAUUUGCAUUUGUGGGAGCAGCCGCUCUCUUUGCCGGUUUUUGAGUGAGGGAAGGGGAGAAGUAUUCAGAAAUCUGAUCAAUAAAUAUUAUAUUUAUAAAUGU
ensembl:ncRNA F25F2.4 ncRNA